CCUGGUUACAGCAUGGGAUUAUAAGAUCAGACCCCCUUACUGACCGCUAGAGACCCUUACAGCCCCUCUCUCAGCAAUGCCAGGGUUACAGCAUGUCAUAAUAAGAUCAGACCCUCUUACUGACCACUAGAGACCCCCUUACUGACCGCUAGAGACCCCCACAGCCCCUCUCUCACCAAUGACAGGGUAACAGCAUGUGACUAUAAGAUCAGACCCCAUUACUGAC